rnacentral:lncRNA from 1 species
UUAAACAUUCCUCCACUACCCCACACUCCAGAGUCAUCGACGAAUCUGGCCACACGACCAAAACACAUGGUCAGACAAAUGUCCCAACUGUAUUCAAUGCCAUGCUAAAGUUAUACCAAGACAUAUAAAAGUACAAGUAUAGAUGAACAAAAAUAUAGUACUUGAGAGAAACAAAAGUCUAAAAUAGCGCAGGAUAGGUCAUCACUAAGGAAAGAGAAAAUGUGAUAUAAAUUAGUUGGAUAAAAAAGUGAGCACGAAAGUGAUAUGAAGUAUACGAUAAUAUGAUGCAGGGUUCGUCUGGGCGCGUUGUCACAGGAACUGUGCAAUCGCCAAUCACAAAAUGAACAUCGCUGCCCACGUUGUCACUUGAAAGAGCUGGCUGAAGUCCUGCACCAGGAUCGUCAAUGGCUAAUGUAUGAUAUCCAAGUGAUUUCCAUUU